GGUUGAUCCUGCCAGUAGUCAUAUGCUUGUCUCAAAGAUUAAGCCAUGCAUGUCUAAGUAUAAACAAGUUUUAUACUGUGAAACUGCGCACAGCUCAUUAUAUCAGCAAUAAUUUAUUUGAUGGUUACCUUACUACUUGGAUACCCGUGGUAAUUCUAGAGCUAAUACAUGCGUCAAAUCCUGACUCUGGAAGAUUUAUCUUCUGGGGAAGGGAUGUAUUUAUUAGAUACAAAACCAAUAGGGGGACACUCUCCCCCUUCUCUUUUGGUGAUUCAUAGUAACUGUUCGGAUC
rnacentral:rRNA from 1 species